UGUGUUGGCUUGAAUUUCCUUUAGAUUCUAUGCCCGUUGAUUUUCCUUUGGGGAGCAUUAUUAUUCUUGAAAUGCAAUACAGCGGUCUGAGACAAGUAUUCAAGGGAACAAAAUAUCUUCCGUCCUUGAAGAUCCUUGAUCUCAGCCAUUCUCAUUCCCUUUCAGAAACCAUUGACUUCUCAUAUUGCCCAAAUCUAGAGAAAUUGGUUCUAGUAGACUGCAUGAGCCUGAUUUAUGUCCAUGGAUCCAUUGGAAACCUAGAGAGACUUAUUUACUUGAAUAUGAAAGAUUGCAAAAGGAUUAGGAUGCUUCCCAAGAACAUUUGUAUGCUAAAAUCACUUGAAACAUUUAUUAUAUCUGGUUGCUCAAAUCUAAAGGAGUUAUCAAUUGAGAUGCUGAGGAACAUGAACUCGUUAAAAGUGCUUGAGACAGAUGGAAUUCCAAUAAAUGAAUUAUGGCCAAAAAGAAGUUCGAGUAU